GCCUGUUCCAACUGUUACUUCGUGGCCUUGGAAGGACAAUAAGGUUUUACGCCCUAGCAACAAACAGCCGUCGGGGAAUUGGUUGCGUCAUUUCGACCGCGUUCUGAGAAGACACUAUCGGACUGGACAUAUUGCACUCUUAUUUCUGCGAGUGCUUGUGUGACGGACAAAUUUAAAAUAGUAGUGUGUCCUUAGGCGCGUGCGAUGACCCGGUUAUGUGACCAAAAUAUGCGGAAACUGGGUUUUCACUGAGAAGGCUAGAAUGGUGCGGAAGUCAUUCGGGCGACUCGCUGUCGCUGUCGCGGCGCUCAUAGUUCUGGGACUCUUGGGCCUCGAGAAAACGAGAGCCCUGGCGGAUAAGGUCAAAGGUAUUGUGGAUUUCGACUACGUCACCCCUGCGUCUAAAGGCAAAGAUCAAAGAACGGGCAA